CCCAUAUAUCCGAUUCUUAGUUCAACCCCACGCCAAGCCGCAAAGCUAACGUCGCCUGCCAAACGCUCGCUCUCAUUUGGAUUCGCUUUCGCGACCCCGAUGGCGGCACCGAGCAAGAGAUGGCUUCCCCUCGAAGCCAAUCCGGAUGUCAUGAACCAGUUCAUCUGGGGACUUGGUGUUCGCGAGGAGGAGGCGGAGUUUAAUGAUGUAUAUGGUUUGGAUGAGGAGCUCUUGGAGAUGGUUCCGAAGCCCGUCCUCGCGGUGAUCUUUCUCUUCCCACUUACUGCCCAGACUGAAGCUGAGAGGAAAGCUGAUAGGGAACAAGACUCGACUGAGAAGAAGGAGCCAAAUAAAAAGGUGUACUUUUUAAAGCAGACAGUUGGUAAUGCUUGUGGAACCAUUGGUAUUCUUCAUGCUGUAGGAAAUGCAACAUCUGAAAUUAAUCUAGUCGGGGGCUCGUACUUUGAUAGGUUCUACAAGUCAACAGCUAACUUGGAUCCAUUUGAGCGUGCUGAUUUUCUUGAAAAAGACAGGGAAAUGGAGGAUGCUCAUUCUGUAGCAGCUACUGCUGGGGAUACGGAGGCUUCUUCAGAUGUAAAUGAACAUUUUAUUUGCUUCACAUGUGUUGAUGUCAGAAUAAAGCAAAUGCAUUAUUGUUUUCAUGGCAUAUUGUAGGAGAGCUUUAUGAGCUUGAUGGGAGGAAGUCCCAGCCGAUAUCUCAUGGUCCCUCAUCACCCAGUAGCUUGUUGCAGGAUGCUGCAAAGGUUAUAAAAGCCAUGAUCCAGAAAAAUCCUGACUCAAUGAACUUCAAUGUCAUGGCACUCUCAAAGAAAGCAAUGUAAUUAACACUGAAACCAGUUGGCUAUUCAGUUCAUCUUUCUGUAUGACAGUCCAUGUUAGGCUGCCUGCUAUCCUAAGUUUUUGCAUGUUCCCUGAUCAUUAACUCAAAAUCUUUAUGAUUUUAUGGGUUUGUGUAGAUAGAAAUCUUGACAAAAUGGUGAUGGACUCGUGAUGUUUGCAGUUAAGCAGACAGUGCUGCCGUUUUGGUUAAUAUGCCAUGCUGCUACAUGUGCUAGUACUCAAAUAUUUUUGGGCUUGGAAGAAACCAUAUAUUGAUCUCCUUGUCAUGGUAGCUUUGAGGCAGAAACGAAUUAGAUGUUGUGAGUCCUGUAAGCAUAUGCCUUGUUCGACCAAGUCGCAGAUAUGUGACAAAAUAGUGGUAUCAUUGCUCUUCAAUCAUGCCUUGCAUGGAAUUUUUACUUGCAUUCCAUGUUUGCUGAUUGUUGGCAGCUCGCUUUCCA